AAGUAAAAUUGAGAAUGGAAAUGGGGAAUGUGCCAAAGAGACAACAACCCGACCAUAGAAAAAAACAACAGCAGAAGGUCACCAACAGGUCUUCAAUGUAGCGAGAAAUUCCCGCACCUGGAGGCGUCCUUCAACUGGCCCCUAAACAAAUAUAUACUAGUUCAGUGAUAAUGAACGCCAUACUAAUUUCCAAAUUGUACACAAGAAACUAAAAUAAAAAUAAUACAAGACUAACAAAGGCCAGAGGCUCCUGACUUGGGACAGGCGCAAAAAUGCGGCGGGGUUAAACAUGUUUGUGAGAUCUCAACCCUCCCCCUAUACCUCUAACCAAUGUAGAAAAGUAAACGCAUAACAAUACGCACAUUAAAAUUCAGUUCAACAGAAGUCAUGCAACUUUUCUGUUCCUCGUGUUUGGACAAUAUUUUUUGAAGUGUUUCGAGAAUUUGGAUCAUUAAUUUCGAUGAAGUUUUGAAAGCUUGGAAUAAUAUUGCGAAAAGGUAAGUUGAAGUGUAAAUAUAUUUUUCAUAGUUGCACUUUCAAUCUUUAUUAAAUUUGUUAUUGAUUUGACCCAGAUAAGUACCGUGUCGUGACCUUUACCUGCCAAAGUUUGUAAACAAUGUACACAAAUUUAGCGUACAAGUGUUGAAGUACCUAUAUAUAUUCACAAAGACACACACACACACCUACAUAUAC
rnacentral:lncRNA from 1 species